AACGUAGGACGCAAGCGUUAUCCGGAGUUACUGGGCGUAAAGGGCGGGCAGGCGGUUCGUCAAGUGGGGUGUGAAAGCUCCCAGCUUAACUGGGAGAGGCCAUUCCAAACUGACGGACUGGAGGGCAGCAGAGGUAGGCGGAAUUCCGGGUGGAGUGGUGAAAUGCGUAGAGAUCCGGAGGAACACCGAAGGCGAAGGCAGUGUCCUGGCGAGUGACUGACGCUGAGGUGCGAAAGCCAGGGGAGCGAACGGG
rnacentral:rRNA from 1 species